rnacentral:rRNA from 1 species
GUCUACGGCCAUAUCACGUUGAAAGCACCGUUCUCGUCCGAUCACCGAAGUUAAGCAACGUAGAGCUGUGUAGUAAUUGGAUGGGUGACCGCCUGGGAAUACCAGUGUCGUAGACU